UAGGCGAGUCAUUGAAGGAGUAAGAGGGAGACUGAACGCACGAUGAACAAGCAGAUUUUCUUACUCUUUUUAGUAUUGUCAUCCGCUCUGCUGGUGUCGGAGGUGCGUGCAGGACCCUUGCCAAGAGAAUGCGAGAUUCCUACCCCUGAUUGCCCGACGGUGAGGCGAGCGAGAGCAGCAACGCAAUUUUGUCUCUGUAUUAUAUCACCUUGUCCCUGUGACCGAUAUGGCGGAUAAACAUACUUCGAUCAUCGUCUGUUAAAAGGACUGCGAUUACGAAUAAAGGCCUCUCUCAGCGAUA